rnacentral:lncRNA from 1 species
CGCAAGCCUCAGGCACACGCGGAUGGCCAGGAUCCCCAGCAGGUCUCUGGAGCAGAGUUCGCCACCCAGGGCAAAGCUUCCCAAAUUCCAGGACACUCCAUUCUUUGUUUUCAAGACCCAGCUCUAGACCCCAUUCCCUGAACUUCAGUAAUCAGUGUUUCACCUGGAAGAGACUCGUCAGAGCAUGUGUUCCCAGCUGCAGCUGAAACAGUUUUCAUGCAUUGAGUAAAACUGUGUGGUGCAC